UUUCCACCUGCCUGUCCCCUCUUGCUUCAGCGCUUCCAGGCCAUGGAGGAGACGCACCUGAGGCACAUGAAGGCACUGCUGGGCUCCUAUGCUCACUCGGUGGAGGACACGCAUGUGCAGAUCGGGCAGGUGCAUGAGGAAUUUAAGCAGAACAUUGAGAACGUCAGCGUGGAGAUGCUACUCAGGAAGUUUGCAGAGAGUAAGGGCACAGGCCGGGAGAAGCCAGAUCCCAGAGGAGCCUUGAAUGCCAGGUUCAGCUGAUCUGACUUCACCCGCCAGGACCUAAGGGGGCCAUUGUGGGUUGUGGAGCAAAAGAACAAUUUGCAAAUGCUCAGAUGCAGUACUGGGGAGGAGUUAAGAGCAAAAGUUGGGCCGGGCGCGGUGGCGCACGCCUAGAAUCCCAGCACUUUGGGAGACUAAGGCGGACAGC